rnacentral:rRNA from 1 species
GUAGGUGGCAAGCGUUGUCCGGAAUUAUUGGGCGUAAAGCGCGCGCAGGCGGUCCUUUAAGUCUGAUGUGAAAGCCCACGGCUCAACCGUGGAGGGUCAUUGGAAACUGGGGGACUUGAGUACAGAAGAGGAAAGCGGAAUUCCAAGUGUAGCGGUGAAAUGCGUAGAGAUUUAGAGGAACACCAGUGGCGAAGGCGGCUUUCUGGUCUGUAACUGACGCUGAGGCGCGAAAGCGCGGGGAGCAAACAGGGAUUAGAUACCCUGGUAGUCCACGCCGUAAACGAUGAGUGCUAAGUGUUAGGGGGUUUCCCGCCCCUUAGUGCUGCAGCUAACGCAUUAAGCACUCCGCCUGGGGAGUACGGCCGCAAGGCUG